GAUGAACGCUGGCGGCGUGCCUAAUACAUGCAAGUCGAGCGAACGGACGAGAAGCUUGCUUCUCUGAUGUUAGCGGCGGACGGGUGAGUAACACGUGGAUAACCUACCUAUAAGACUGGGAUAACUUCGGGAAACCGUAGCUAAUACCGGAUAAUAUUUUGAACCGCAUGGUUCAAAAGUGAAAGACGGUCUUGCUGUCACUUAUAGAUGGAUCCGCGCUGCAUUAGCUAGUUGGUAAGGUAACGGCUUACCAAGGCAACGAUGCAUAGCCGACCUGAGAGGGGGGUCGGCCCAACUGGAAAUGGGAACCGGUCCAGACUCCCAAGGGAGGCAGCAGGAGGGAAUCUUCCGCAAUGGGGGAAAAGCGUACGGAGGAAAGCCGGGGGGGGGAUGAAGGGCUUCGGGUGGGAAAAACUUUUUUUUAGGGAAAAAACAUUUGUGAAGGAACCUGGCAACUUUUGAAGGGAACCUAACAAAAAGCCCCGGCUAACCACGGG
rnacentral:rRNA from 1 species